AUUGAACGCUGGCGGCAUGCCUUACACAUGCAAGUCGAACGGUAACAGGUUAAGCUGACGAGUGGCGAACGGGUGAGUAAUAUAUCGGAACGUGCCCAGUUGUGGGGGAUAACUGCUCGAAAGAGCAGCUAAUACCGCAUACGACCUGAGGGUGAAAGCGGGGGAUCGCAAGACCUCGCGCAAUUGGAGCGGCCGAUAUCAGAUUAGCUAGUUGGCGGGGUAAAAGCCCACCAAGGCGACGAUCUGUAGCUGGUCUGAGAGGACGACCAGCCACACUGGGACUGAGACACGGCCCAGACUCCUACGGGAGGCAGCAGUGGGGAAUUUUGGACAAUGGACGCAAGUCUGAUCCAGCCAUGCCGCGUGCGGGAAGAAGGGCCCUUCGGGUUGGUU
rnacentral:rRNA from 1 species